UACAGAGGUCUCAAGCGUUGUUCGGAUUCAUUGGGCGUAAAGGGUGUGUAGGUGGCGCCGUAAGUCGGGUGUGAAAUUUCGGAGCUUAACUCCGAAACUGCAUUCGAUACUGCGGUGCUUGAGGACUGGGAGAGGAGACUGGAAUUCAUGGUGUAGCAGUGAAAAUGCGUAGAUAUCGAGAGGAACACCAACGGCGAAAAGCAGUCUCUGGGGCCCACACUGACACUGAGAAGACGAAAAGCGUAGGGGGAGCAAAUGGGG
rnacentral:rRNA from 1 species